rnacentral:lncRNA from 1 species
UCCGGGCGACCACGGGCGCUUGCACGGCGCGGCGCGGCACGGCUUUCGCUCCCAAACUCCCCUUCCGCAACCUCUGGCAGGGCACCCGAUCCCAGUCCCUGCAAUCGGUCGGCGAGCCGCUUGCUCUGCUGCAGCGCGCCCCAAUCUUUUUUUUGCCCAGCUCGGAUUCCUAGGCGGAUGCCGAGAUGGAGGCGAAGGAGACGCUGCAGCGCGCGCCCAAGGUCAGGUACUCAGGUAUGCCAUGUGGUUGCUUCCUUCCCUGUGUAGCAUCAGACUCUGCAUAUCGCGUAUUUAUCCUGUGAUAGUGGAGGAAUUUCGAAAAUGCUCGGAGGUUUUGGUAGAAGGGAACCAGUAACUUAAUCUAAUUCCACAGCCUUGAGAGAGGUUGCAGAAUAAAGGCCUAAUUCUUUAGCAGCAAUCUUAAGCAGACCACUUGUUUUAGGAAUGGUUUGGAACUUAAUGUACGGAAACCAAUUACUCCUAGUAGAUCACCGAGUACGCAUAUGGAAAAGGAUGCUUCAUGACUGAAAACUACUACUCGUACUCCGUACUUCUUCCGUUUCAUAAUUCUUGUCUCAAAUUUGCCCAAAAAUGGAUGUAUCUAUUCCUAACAAAUAUCUAGAUACAUGUAAUAUUUUGACAAGAAUUAUGGAACGAAGGGAAUACUAAACAAGCAAGAUUACAAACUGACAAGAAAAAUGACUAAAGUUGCAGUUUACAAACACGCAGUGACGACUCAGAUAAGCAAAUUACCGAACUCUGUCUAAGCAGAUGCAAAAAUAACUCGGUAUGCAUUUUCCUUUCACCGUCCAGAAACAAGGCUUGUUUCUGACAUCCCACCGGUAAAAUCAGAAUGGAAGGAGCUCCCCUCAUUCCUUUCUCCAGAAACCGUCCACUGGAGCCUUGGAAUUUCAAUAUCCAUGUAGUUUCUGCGUUGAGGGGUUGCAGAAGCAGACUGCUUUUCCCUUGAAACCGCUGGCAACCACACUUUGAGCCUUGAAACAACCUCGGUCAUGGUCGGCCUGUCAAUGGCCGCAUUUUCUACGCAGUUCAUGGCAAGGUCUAUGACACAAUGCAGGGAGCUUGCGUCGUACUGAUCCAUCAGCCUCUUGUCCACAACAUCAUGAACACUACCCGUAACAAUCUUUUGGCGCACCCAAUUUGGUAGGUGGACAGUUUGAGGGUCCAUCAGUACCGGGGAAUGGCCAGUGAUGAUCUCCAAUAGCACAAUGCCGAAGCUGUAAACAUCUGUCUUGACAGUGAGUUGGAAAGUUGCAUGGUACUCAGGAUCGAGGUAGCCAAGAGUGCCAGCAGCAACAGUAGAUAUGUGUGUAUGUGCUUCGUUAAAAGCCCGUGAAAGCCCAAAAUCAGAUAUUAUCCCCACCAGAUUCUUGUCCAGAAGGAUGUUAGCAGUCUUCACAUCUCUGUGAACUAUGGAUGGUGUGCACAACUCAUGUAGAUACUCCAGUCCUGUAAUUUAUAGAAACUCAUACUUUGCCAGCACACACAUACAUACAUGAAUUAAAGUUAAAUACGUUAUUGAAAUGUGGACCUUGUGCAGAAUCAAGUGCAAUAUGAAGUCGUUGUUCCCAACUCAAACUGUAGUCACCUCCUGCACCAAAACGUCCCAAAAAAUGUUGUGAGUGCCAUAUGAUAAUCACAUGCUCAUUUUAGCAUAAAUUCCCAUUUUUGUAAGUUGUGACAUAUGUAAGCCAACAAAUGAUGGUUAUGCACGCCAUGACUAAGCAUAUCAAUUGGUGCAUUAAGAUUUAAACCUUCUUAGAGAGGUCUAUGCUUUUCCUUCUCAUCAUCAGAGCAUUUUUUAUACACAAAUCAAGUUAACCAGACAACCAAGCCAUUGGAUUUUAAUAAGUUCCUCUAUAGUUGCUUUGUUUCUUACUGGCUUUGAAAGUUACAUGCUUAGAAUUUCUGACUAUCUUGUCAUGGUGACGUCUCAAAGAGUGUAACAGUAGUCCCUCCAAUUUGUUAUCCAAGUGUCUAUGACAAUUGCAAAAUUAUGGCUUAAGAAUGUGCAGCUCCAAGAAUACAGCUAUGGUGGCCUCACUUGUUAAUCAAAUUUCGAAUGCCGAUACAGGUUACAUAGUAAAUUAGAUCCACCAUCUCAGCUGUAUUAACUAGCAGCAGUGAUAACAGUCUAGGCAAUCAACUACACCUUUAACAAGGAAAUCCAGUUUUAACAAGAAAUCAUGUUUACAGUAGAAUGUCAAAGCCGGAGUAGUUUGACUUCAGAGUUUCUUUCUAUACUUGGGACUAGGUCCUUUCAAUUUUGUAUUAUUCUGAGAAACACAAUCCGAUGUUAACAUUUGGGAAGUAGGUGGCCCACAAGUGGUUACUGAAAGCUGUUGGCCUCUGGGUCUUUGAUUCUUUGCGUUGUUGACUUGUUGUUGGUUUCGAAGCAAGUAAAACCUGAAUUGGUCAACUUCCCUUUUAGAUCGAGCUGAUUGCAGGUUUCAUUUAAUGAUUCAAUUUUGUUCAGUUAAAUUACAAUGGUCUGUAAACAUGGGAUCACAAUUCAGUGAUCAUAAAAAACUCCAAGUUGGAUUGGUUAUACCUAAGCCAACUACGCUUGAUAGAAUUUUUAAGAUAAGUUAAGAGAAAAACCUUCUCUCAGAAGCUGCUGAAGAUUUCCUCUGGGCAUGAAGUCAUAAACAAGUGCUAGGCACUUCUUGUUUUGGCAAUAUCCUUCCAAAGUCACAAGAUUCUUGUGAUGAACUUUUGACAAGGUUUGCACCUGCAGCAACAGUUAUGGUUACCAAACAUCCUAGAGAUGAAGCCAACUGCAUUUUUUUUAAUAUGGACUGCGGAAAGGGUUUAUGAUGUCUUGCAGACAUAUAGUUUACUUUUUUAUUGAAGAAAGCAAUGAUUUGGCCUAGUUGGUUUUGUGGUAUACCUCAGGGAGGAAGUCUGUCGACUCUGCUAUUGAUGUCUCCAUAAGCACCUUAACAGCUACUUCAUCACCAUUUCCCAGUAUGCCAUGAUAAACAGUUCCGAAACCUCCUUUUCCAAUGAUUGAUUGGAAGUCUUUUGUUAUGAGCUUCAGCUCUGCGUACGUGAACCGUCUAAUGUCAAUAUGUAGCGGAGUUUCCUCUUCACACAUAGCAUAAUCUUCAUGGUCUCCUGACUUCCCUGCAGAGUCAAGAAGUUGUGUUUUACUUGAAAGCAAAGGUAUGAAACUGCUGUGUAAUGUCUACCACCCAAUACAUCGAGAAAAGAGAAUUUUAGAACGGAGAAUUUUGUUUUACCUUUCCAGCACAACUUCCAGAGUAUGCAGAUCACUACUAAGAGGGAUACCAGUCCGACAGGAACUAUCACUGUGAUGAGCAAGGUUUGUGUGGUGCUCUUCUUCUUAUUUGAACAGUAUGUAGCUUUGACUUUUGAGCAUAUGGGAUUGCCUUCUAAUCUAGUAGCACAAUUACAUGGAAAAAGUGAGCUCAAAAGGUCUUAGCUACAACAACUCUAUAAAAUUAUGGCUACAACGUGCCUCCAUUUUCUAACACAAUUAACCUGCUAAAAUUGCUUCACUGCUUCUAAACGUCUAUGCACUCUAAAAGAACAAACCGCAUGGUUUCUGAAUCACGUUCAGUUACUAAUAGGUCCUUAUCUACCUCUCAUGUUGAAAGGCCAUAGAUUAUAAAGAAUUUAAGUUACUAGAUGGUAGUACAUUAAUUGAGGCUUGUUUGGAUUAACAAUUUAACAUGAUGCACUAACAUGGCUCGACACUUUUGGUGGCUCCCAAAUUAGCCACCACAACUUCGUCAAAUUUGGCAAGGGUUUAUUAUGUACAAGGGACACUGCUCUGCAUGGUACUAGAAAAAUAUGGUGCAGCACAAGCAUGGCACUAACCAAACAGUGGCCAGAGAAAGUCAAACUUGCGCAACUCCAGUUUGACAAGUGUGGCUAGGAACUAAAUGCUUUUUAACCAUUGCAUUUGCAUUAUACGUGCAAGACUGUUGGUAAACCUUGGAAUGUUUCUAUGAUAAGUCGAUAACCAACCUUGGGUAGAGCCUAUUACUUUUUGGUGUACUUUGUUUAGUUUGUUAUAUACUUAUAUUUUUCUAUAUUCUACGAAGGAAUUGUGCAACGGGGCAUGCCAAACCUUAAGUCAAGCUGAUCAGCCUGGAAUCUUUGAAGAAUAGAAUUAGGGAUUGGUCCAUCGAGCUGAUUAUUUGACAAGUCACUGAAAAUAGUAGUUAAAUCAUUCACUAAUUUAUAUCAUCAACCAAAGAUUUAAUCAGUACGUCAACUUACAGAACUUCGAGUGACUUUAGUGGAUAGUCUGGAAUAGGUCCCAUCAAAUUGUUGUGUGAUAAAUUCCUACAUAUGUUUUGUGCUUAAGGUCACAAAAGAUGUCAACAUAAUCUCGUUUAGCACAUCGAUGUUAUGUGGUAGCCGGUAGGCACUACUUACAAGUUUUCCAGUGAUACCAUGCCCAGGAAUGACAUGGCUAAUUCACCUUCCAGUCCGCUGUUAGACAGACUCUGCAAAAGAACUCAUUUUUAGUACAAUUCAUAUUAAUUUACUGAUAGCAUUAAACUAACAUGUAGUUUGAAUAUUAUGUUAAUAUAUUCUUGUACUUCUGUUUUACACUGAAACGUUACCUGUAUUUUCAAGAUUUCAACUAGAUUGUGUGUUUUCAAGAUCUUAGCCAGUAAGACAAGUGACUGAAUGGUCAUCCAUGUAUAAAAAGAAAGAACAGAAAUCUUGAGCAUCAUGUAAACCAAAUGGGAAAUUUUUUGGAGCGUUAAACUGCUUGGGGAUGAAUUGCACUUCAAAGGAUAAAAAGAUUGAACCGCGAUGUUGAAAAUUCAAAAUAUAUAUGGUACAAGUCCUGUAAAUAUACUUACACACUGACAAUCCUCGGGUUCUGGUUGCUUUUGGAGUAGUUGCAAGUCAAUCCUUCCCAGGAAUACUCUCUUGGGGAGCAUGGGUCUCCAUUCCAGUUUAUGCGUGACAAAUUGUAGCUUCUUGAUUUCUUUCAUGUAAUUGACUACAACAGAAUAAAGACAACAUAAACAAAUAUUAAGAAAAGAACAUAAACAAAUAUUAACAUAAUAAAGAAAGCUGUUUAUGUGGCUAUGGGGCCUUAUUAUUAGUAAAUAGAAAGAUCAAAGCAAACUUAAGAAGUUGCAAAAUUAUUUUAUGCUAGUUUUAUCUUUUGAUAGAACUGAAUAAAUUUUAUUAAUUCAUUUCUCUACUAUGUUCUUGGCCGUCGCUCAUUGGCAAUUAAAGGUUUGAAGACGGCCUAGUAAGGAGUUUAGUGUGCAACUGGAUCAAUCUGUUGAUAAAUUUGUUUCUCCUGCUUCAAUGGAAGAUCCUUGCAGUGAGACCUCAGUCAUCAACAGCCUUUCAGUUCAAACAACUGAAUAAACUACAUGACGAUCAUGGGCGCCUGUCACAUAAAUGACAAAUGUGUGAUGCAGGUGCAGUAUAUAUAUUGAUCUUACCAUCAUCAGAGUCAGUGGUGAGGUUAUCCAUCCGAACGAGCGAGUACAGCUCAAAAGCGUUGAUGAGUGGUGGGAGGCUUGACUUGUUUGUCUUCUUCAGGAGGAAGGAUCCCUCGGGGUUGUGCAAGAGCCGCCCAUUCUCAUGCAUGCUGCGCAAUUCGAAUCGCGGUGGGGAGUAGUC